UACGGUCUGGUAAGGUACGGUACGGUCUGGUAAGGUACGGUACGGUCUGGUAAGGUACGGUACGGUAAGGUACGGUCUGGUAUGGUAUGGUCUGGUAAGGUACGGUCUGGUAAGGUACGGUACGGUCUGGUAAGGUACGGUACGGUCUGGUAAGGUAUGGUCUGGUAUGGUAUGGUCUGGUAAGGUACGGUCUGGUAAGGUACGGUACGGUCUGGUAAGGUACGGUCUGGUAAGGUACGGUCUGGUAAGGUACGGUGCGGUCUGGUAAGGUACGGUCUGGUAAGGUACGGUCUGGUAAGGUACGGUCUGGUAAGGUACGGUCUGGUAAGGUACGGUCUGGUAAGGUACGGUCUGGUAAGGUACGGUCUGGUAAGGUAUGGUCUGGUAAGGUACGGUCUGGUAAGGUACGGUACGGUAAGGUACGGUCUGGUAAGGUACGGUACGGUCUGGUAAGGUAUGGUCUGGUAUGGUAUGGUCUGGUAAGGUAUGGUCUGGUAAGGUACGGUCUGGUAAGGUACGGUACGGUCUGGUAAGGUAUGGUCUGGUAUGGUAUGGUCUGGUAAGGUACGGUAUGGUACGGUCUGGUAUGGUCUGGUAAGGUACGGUCUGGUAUGGUAUGGUCUGGUAAGGUACGGUCUGGUACGGUAUGGUCUGGUAAGGUACGGUCUGGUAUGGUAUGGUCUGGUAAGGUACGGUCUGGUACGGUAUGGUCUGGUAAGGUACGGUCUGGUAUGGUAUGGUCUGGUACGGUAUGGUCUGGUAAGGUACGGUCUGGUACGGUAUGGUCUGGUAAGGUGCGGUCUGGUAAGGUGCGGUCUGGUACGGUAUGGUCUGGUAAGGUACGGUCUGGUACGGUCUGGUACGG